rnacentral:rRNA from 1 species
GAUGAACGCUGGCGGCGUGCCUAAUACAUGCAAGUCGAGCGAACAGAUGAGGAGCUUGCUCCUCUGACGUGAGCGGCGGACGGGUGAGUAACACGUGGAUAAUCUACCUAUAAGACUGGGAUAACUUCGGGAAACCGGAGCUAAUACCGGAUAAUAUACUGAACCGCAUGGUUCAAUAGUGAAAGACGGUUUUGCUGUCACUUAUAGAUGGAUCCGCGCCGCAUUAGCUAGUUGGUAAGGUAACGGCUUACCAAGGCAACGAUGCGUAGCCGACCUGAGAGGGUGAUCGGCCACACUGGAGCUGAGACACGGUCCAGGCUCCUACGAGAGGCAGCAGUAGGGAAUCUUCCGCAAUGGGCGAAAGCCUGACGGAGCAACGCCGCGUGAGUGAUGAAGGUCUUCGGAUCGUAAAACUCUGUUAUUAGGGGAGAACAAAUGUGUAAGUAACUGUGCACGUCUUGACGGUACCUAAUCAGAAAGCCACGGCUAACUACGUG